AGAGUUUGAUCAUGGCUCAGGAUGAACGCUGGCGGCGUGCUUAACACAUGCAAGUCGAACGAACCUUCGGGUUAGUGGCGGACGGGUGAGUAACGCGUGGGAAUCUGCCCUCAGGAGGGGGAUAACGGCUGGAAACGGCCGCUAAUACCCCGUAUGCCGAGAGGUGAAAUGAAUUUCGCCUGAGGAUGAGCCCGCGUCUGAUUAGCUAGUUGGUGAGGUAAGAGCUCACCAAGGCAUCGAUCAGUAGCUGGUCUGAGAGGAUGAUCAGCCACACUGGGACUGAGACACGGCCCAGACUCCUACGGGAGGCAGCAGUGGGGAAUUUUCCGCAAUGGGCGAAAGCCUGACGGAGCAACGCCGCGUGAGGGAUGAAGGCCUCUGGGCUGUAAACCUCUUUUCUCAAGGAAGAAGAUCUGACGGUACUUGAGGAAUAAGCCACGGCUAAUUCCGUGCCAGCAGCCGCGGUAAUACGGGAGUGGCGAGCGUUAUCCGGAAUUAUUGGGCGUAAAGCGUCCGCAGGCGGCCCUUCAAGUCUGCUGUUAAAAAGUGGAGCUUAACUCCAUCAUGGCAGUGGAAACUGUUGGGCUUGAGUGUGGUAGGGGCAGAGGGAAUUCCCGGUGUAGCGGUGAAAUGCGUAGAUAUCGGGAAGAACACCAGUGGCGAAGGCGCUCUGCUGGGCCACAACUGACGCUCAUGGACGAAAGCCAGGGGAGCGAAAGGGAUUAGAUACCCCUGUAGUCCUGGCCGUAAACGAUGAACACUAGGUGUCGGGGGAAUCGACCCCCUCGGUGUCGUAGCCAACGCGUUAAGUGUUCCGCCUGGGGAGUACGCACGCAAGUGUGAAACUCAAAGGAAUUGACGGGGGCCCGCACAAGCGGUGGAGUAUGUGGUUUAAUUCGAUGCAACGCGAAGAACCUUACCAGGGUUUGACAUCCUGCGAACCUCUUGGAAACGAGAGGGUGCCUUCGGGAACGCAGUGACAGGUGGUGCAUGGCUGUCGUCAGCUCGUGUCGUGAGAUGUUGGGUUAAGUCCCACAACGAGCGCAACCCACGUCUUUAGUUGCCAGCAUUCAGUUGGGCACUCUAGAGAGACCGCCGGUGAUAAACCGGAGGAAGGUGUGGAUGACGUCAAGUCAUCAUGCCCCUUACAUCCUGGGCUACACACGUACUACAAUGCUACGGACAAAGAGCAGCAAGUUCGCGAGGACAAGCAAAUCUCAUAAACCGUGGCUCAGUUCAGAUCGUAGGCUGCAACUCGCCUACGUGAAGGAGGAAUCGCUAGUAAUCGCAGGUCAGCAUACUGCGGUGAAUACGUUCCCGGGCCUUGUAGA
rnacentral:rRNA from 1 species